CGAGACAUGGGGAGGAGAUGAAGAGAUUGAGAGGGUGUUAACCCAGAUAACUACUUCCAGUGCUGGUGCUAACCUGCUGCUAACCCGGUGCUAACCCGGUGUUAACCCGCUGCUAACCCGGUGCUAACCCGCUGCUAACCUGCUGCUAACCCGGUGCUAACCCGGUGCUAACCCGGUGCUAACCCGGUGUUAACCCUAUAUUAACAGGUUCCUGCAGCGUGUUUCAGGGUGGAGGUACCGGACUCAUGGAGAACCACUUCCAGACAGAGGCCUUCAACCUGGAUAAAGUGUUGGAUGACUUUGAACAGAAGCAAGAUGAGACCGACAGUCCCAGUCUGUCUGAUAAGUGGAUUCAGAUCCUGGCCCCUCCUGCCCACCUACUAUCUCCGAACUGUGCCCUGGCUUUGACCCCAGACCUCGGCCC